rnacentral:rRNA from 1 species
GCAAGACUGAAACUCAAAGGAAUUGACGGGGGCCCGCACAAGCGGUGGAGCAUGUGGUUUAAUUUGAAGCAACGCGAAGAACCUUACCAGGUCUUGACAUCCCGGUGACCACUAUGGAGACAUAGUUUCCCCUUCGGGGGCAACGGUGACAGGUGGUGCAUGGUUGUCGUCAGCUCGUGUCGUGAGAUGUUGGGUUAAGUCCCGCAACGAGCGCAACCCUUAUUUUUAGUUGCCAUCAUUCAGUUGGGCACUCUAAGGAGACUGCCGGUGAUAAACCGGAGGAAGGUGGGGAUGACGUCAAAUCAUCAUGCCCCUUAUGACCUGGGCUACACACGUGCUACAAUGGACGGUACAAACGGUUGCCAACCCGCGAGGGGGAGCUAAUCCGAUAAAACCGUUCUCAGUUCGGAUUGUAGGCUGCAACUCGCCUACAUGAAGCCGGAAUCGCUAGUAAUCGCGGAUCAGCAUGCCGCGGUGAAUACGUUCCCGGGCCUUGUACACACCGCCCGUCACACCACGAGAGUUUGUAACACCCGAAGUCGGUGAGGUAACCUUUAUGGAGCCAGCCGCCGAAGGUGGGAUAGAUGAUUGGG